rnacentral:rRNA from 1 species
UACGUAGGGUCCGAGCGUUGUCCGGAAUUACUGGGCGUAAAGAGCGCGUAGGUGGUUUGUCGCGUUGUUCGUGAAAACUCACAGCUCAACUGUGGGCGUGCGGGCGAUACGGGCAGACUAGAGUACUGCAGGGGAGACUGGAAUUCCUGGUGUAGCGGUGGAAUGCGCAGAUAUCAGGAGGAACACCGGUGGCGAAGGCGGGUCUCUGGGCAGUAACUGACGCUGAGGAGCGAAAGCGUGGGGAGCGAACAGG